rnacentral:rRNA from 1 species
CCUACGGGAGGCAGCAGUGGGGAAUAUUGGACAAUGGGGGCAACCCUGAUCCAGCCAUGCCGCGUGUGUGAAGAAGGCCUUUUGGUUGUAAAGCACUUUAAGCGAGGAGGAGGCUCCCAGUAUUAAUACUACUGGAGAGUGGACGUUACUCGCAGAAUAAGCACCGGCUAACUCUGUGCCAGCAGCCGCGGUAAUACAGAGGGUGCAAGCGUUAAUCGGAUUUACUGGGCGUAAAGCGUGCGUAGGUGGCCAAUUAAGUCAAAUGUGAAAUCCCCGAGCUUAACUUGGGAAUUGCAUUCGAUACUGGUUGGCUAGAGUAUGGGAGAGGAUGGUAGAAUUCCAGGUGUAGCGGUGAAAUGCGUAGAGAUCUGGAGGAAUACCGAUGGCGAAGGCAGCCAUCUGGCCUAAUACUGACACUGAGGUACGAAAGCAUGGGGAGC